rnacentral:rRNA from 1 species
UACGUAGGGUGCAAGCGUUGUCCGGAAUUAUUGGGCGUAAAGAGUUCGUAGGCGGUUUGUCGCGUCUGCUGUGAAAACCCGAGGCUCAACCUCGGGCCUGCAGUGGGUACGGGCAGACUAGAGUGCGGUAGGGGAGAUUGGAAUUCCUGGUGUAGCGGUGGAAUGCGCAGAUAUCAGGAGGAACACCGAUGGCGAAGGCAGAUCUCUGGGCCGUAACUGACGCUGAGGAGCGAAAGCAUGGGGAGCGAACAGG